UGGACCACAUUGUUCCAUGUUGAAGACUAACUUCACAAGAGGCCAUCUUAAUAACAAUUCCAAGAUUAUGAUGAAUGACAUUUAACACAAUGACAUCAAAAUCUUUUUCGGAUUGUCGAAUUUGAACCUGAGAACAUUCAAGUUCAACCAUGACAAGAACUUGUCAAAGUAGCAUAUAAACAAAACUAGUCCUUUCUAAACCAAGACUUUCCAGGAUAAUAAGUAUAUUCUGGUAGAAGUGGCCAUCAUACAAUAAAAUUUCAUGAACUUCCCCCUCUUCUUCUUCUAACAUUAAUCUUGCCAGAGUUCAUCCACCUCACCAUUAGCUCCCCACAUGAUUCGGGGCUAAAUGAUGAAUGGUUUGGUCAUGGAAACUGUAAAGAAAAGGAUUAAAAUAUUUUUUGGCCACCUAGUCAUAAGGAUGAGUUCAGCCCUCUACACAAGAUUUUACAUUAGAAAAGUAACGCCAGCUAUGUAAUUGAUAUCCUUUCACACAAUUCAUCUUGCCGUGCCACAACAUUUUGCCAGAGAAUCGUGUAUAGCAGCACUCGUUUUUCUCCUACCAGAACGUGUGCAGAUUAGGUGAUCAUUGAAUCUCCAUUCCAAUAUAAACUACUCCAAUGAUAUGUAAAAUACGUUCUUCAAUGUGUAAUGCUACUUGCACUGCCUUGUCCGGAACUUUUCUUUGGAUAACAGAGUGCUUAUCAAAUUCUCCAGCCUUUUUGCUCCAGGGCCGGGUCUAAGAACUGUUGUAUUACCUACAGUAGAACAUGGGUCAGUUCCAUUUUCCCGACUUCCUAUACACCAACCACCAGGAGUAAACAUGUCUGGACCCCGAGAUAAGAGCUCAGAAUCAAUUUUGUCAAGCACUGGAUCAUCUCGGCGAAACUUCCUUGCAAAAGGCGCAUUACUGUCAACCAUCUUUUGCAUGUCAGCAAGGUUUAGGUGGUGUGGAUGCUGCUUAGGAGGAUUGUCCCAUGAUAUGAAAUGAAGGUCACUAUUCACAGUGGUGUUACGAAACUCCUGUGCAUUGCAAAUGACAGUGUGGAAAUAACCUUCUGGGGAAGAUAUAAAGUUUGCAUAAUACAUGAGUACUACUCGAGGUAAAUUGUCCCAUCCCCAUAUGGUGUAAUCAACGAAAGGCCGAGAAAGUGCCAUCCAGGCCGAACCUGUAAAAAGUUUGAAUGCUGUCGGUACACUCCUCCUCUGUGUAACCCAGAAAACAUCAGCUUUCUUUGUCAUGUACAACCCUGGAUCUACGAUUAUAGGCUUCGCUCUUUGAAACUCUUUCCAACCAAUGUUGCUCGUAUGAUCAAUGAAAUUAAGAUCCCUCGGCAGAUAAGAAAACGUGUGCAAUAGAUCGUCCUGUGUAACAAGUGGAUAAUCAGACGCACUAAGAUUGAUGAACCAAUCCCAAUCCCCACCCUCUCUCAACAAUAUCGCCGCCGCGUGCAGAGUAUUAGCGACCAUGGUGGGACCUCUGUACGUUACAAGAUUAGCUUUAGUGAUCAUCUGCACAUUACCAAACUUGAUGAAAACCGGAUGAUUCCUGACAUAAUUAUUCAGAUCCAACCGCUCCUCAGAAGAAGAUUCCCGGUCCAAGUGCACAACAUACCGGUUAUUAGGAUGGUAAAGGGCUUGCAAGGUUCGCUUCAACAUGUUCCCAUCUCCAGCAGAGCCAGAGAUUAGGUAAGCAAAUCGAGGAGGAGGAGGAAGAUUGGACACAGGAAUUGGCUGAAGCUUAGGCUCAACGAAUCUAGAACUAAAAGUAGAGAAGGAGCGAUACAAAGGGAAUAAUGGGGUACCAUCAGGGAAGGUAAGGGUGGUGAGAAAGAGAAGAAAGAGAGACACAAUAGACCCAAUAGCUAGAGGAAAGAUCCAUUUGCGCUCCAUGGCUUGGUGGUGGCGCAAGUGCAUGUAGUAGUUCUUCAAUCUCUUCAUUGUUGGAGGAUUUUGAGAAGAGGGAAGUGGCUGUUAGGGGGUUUUUAUGAGUUGGGUGUGUGACUGUGGAGCGUGAAAUGGACGGAGGCCGGUGGCUUUAAUUGGGUAAAAAGCGGAGGGGCGCCGUGACAGAAGGUGGAAAUUAGUUGAGGAAGGACCUGUAAAUUGGAUUUUUGGAGUAGAGAAAUGCCGGGCAUUCAAAG
rnacentral:misc_RNA from 1 species